rnacentral:rRNA from 1 species
AGUGAACGCUGGCGGUAGGCCUAACACAUGCAAGUCGAACGGCAGCACAGUAAGAGCUUGCUCUUACGGGUGGCGAGUGGCGGACGGGUGAGGAAUACAUCGGAAUCUACUUUUUCGUGGGGGAUAACGUAGGGAAACUUACGCUAAUACCGCAUACGACCUACGGGUGAAAGCAGGGGAUCUUCGGACCUUGCGCGAUUGAAUGAGCCGAUGUCGGAUUAGCUAGUUGGCGGGGUAAAGGCCCACCAAGGCGACGAUCCGUAGCUGGUCUGAGAGGAUGGUCAGCCACACUGGAACGGAGACACGGUCCAGACUCCUACGGGAGGCAGCAGUGGGGAAGAUUGGACAAUGGGCGGAAGCCUGAUCCAGCCAUGCCGCGUGGGUGAAGAAGGCCUUCGGGUUGUAAAGCCCUUUUGUUGGGAAAGAAAAGCAGCAGGGUAAUACCCCGCUGUUCUGACGGUACCCAAAGAAUAAGCACCGGCUAACUUCGUG